rnacentral:rRNA from 1 species
GAUAAUAAAUAAACUUUCACGAAGGGGGUUGAGCUAAUUAGUAAAAUAUAUUAGUAUAUAAUGUAUAUGUUGCAUCAUAUACAAUAUAUUAUUAAUUAGGGGUGAUAGGCCUAACAAAAUUUCCAAUAUCUUGUUUUUUAGGAAAUAUAUUAAGUAUUAUAAGCAACUUGUAAAUGCUAAGGUUUACAGGUUAUAUUAAAUUAAUCCCUAUAUAAAUAAAUUGAUUAACGUUAAUUAUUUAUGUAAUAUAUUAUUAAUUAUUGAUAAAUUAUAUAAAGUACUAAAAUGUAGCAGAAAUACAAAUAGUUAUUAUUAAUGUUGAUAUUAGUAUUAUAUAAUAACUUUUGAUGGAACUCGGCAAAUAUAUUACUCAACUGUUUAUCAAAAACAUAGCUAUAUGUAAUAUAUAUUUAGUGAAUUCUGCUCAAUGGUUAAACUAAAUAGCCGCAGUACCCUGACUGUGCAAAGGUAGCAUAAUCAUUUGUCUCAUAAUUGGAGUCUGGCAUGAAGGAGUUUUUGGGUAAAAGCUGUCUCCGAGGGUUUAUUAGAAAUUAUUUAGCAAGUGAAAAUACUUGUAGAUAUUUAAUAGACGAGAAGACCCUAGAAAUUUUAUAUAAUAUAUAUUGUUCAUAUUUGUUAUUUUGUUGGGGCGACAGAAUAACAAUUAACUUAUUUUAUUUGUUAGAACUAUAUGUUGAGUUAAAUUAAAUUACUCUAGGGAUAACAGCAUAAUCUAUUAGAGUUUGUGACCUCGAUGUUGGACUAGGAAGCUUAGUAUUUAGAAGACACUAAUAUAGGCUCUGUUCGAGCCAUUAUAUCCUACAUGAUCUGAGUUCAGACCGGC